rnacentral:rRNA from 1 species
CUACGGGACGCUCCAGUGGGGAAUAUUGCACAAUGGGCGCAAGCCUGAUGCAGCCAUGCCGCGUGUAUGAAGAAGGCCUACGGGUUGUAAAGUACUUUCAGCGGGGAGGAAGGGAGUAAAGUUAAUACCUUUGCUCAUUGACGUUACCCGCAGAAGAAGCACCGGCUAACUCCGUGCCAGCAGCCGCGGUAAUACGGAGGGUGCAAGCGUUAAUCGGAAUUACUGGGCGUAAAGCGCACGCAGGCGGUUUGUUAAGUCAGAUGUGAAAGCCCCGGGCGCAACCUGGGAACUGCAUCUGAUACUGGCAAGCUUGAGUCUCGUAGAGGGGGGUAGAAUUCCAGGUGUAGCGGUGAAAUGCGUAGAGAUCUGGAGGAAUACCGGUGGCGAAGGCGGCCCCCUGGACGAAGACUGACGCUCAGGUGCGAAAGCGUGGGGAGCAAACAGGAUUAGAUACCCCAGUAGUC